rnacentral:rRNA from 1 species
GAUGAACGCUGGCGGCGUGCCUAAUACAUGCAAGUCGAGCGAACAGACGAGGAGCUUGCUCCUCUGACGUUAGCGGCGGACGGGUGAGUAACACGUGGAUAACCUACCUAUAAGACUGGGAUAACUUCGGGAAACCGAAGCUAAUACCGGAUAAUAUAUUGAACCGCAUGGUUCAAUAGUGAAAGACGGUUUUGCUGUCACUUAUAGAUGGAUCCGCGCCGCAUUAGCUAGUUGGUAAGGUAACGGCUUACCAAGGCAACGAUGCGUAGCCGACCUGAGAGGGUGAUCGGCCACACUGGAACUGAGACACGGUCCAGACUCCUACGGGAGGCAGCAGUAGGGAAUCUUCCGCAAUGGGCGAAAGCUUGACGGAGCAACGCCGCGUGAGUGAUGAAGGUCUUCGGAUCGUAAAACUCUGUUACUAGGGAAGAACAAAUGUGUAAGUAACUAUGCACGUCUUGACGGUACCUAAUCAGAAAGCCACGGCUAACUACGUG